rnacentral:rRNA from 1 species
GUCAGCUCGUGUCGUGAGAUGUAGGGUUAAGUCCCGCAACGAGCGCAACCCUUGUCUUUAAUUGCCAUCAUUGAGUUGGGCACUUUAAAGAGACUGCCGGUGUUAACCGGAGGAAGUGGGGAUGACGUCAAGUCCUCAUGGCCUUUAUGCCCAGGGCUACACACGUGCUACAAUGGGUGGUACAAAGAGCAGCCAGCUCGCGAGAGUGAGCAAAUCUCAAAAAGCCAUCCUCAGUUCGGAUUGAAGUCUGCAACUCGACUUCAUGAAGUUGGAAUCGCUAGUAAUCGCAGGUCAGCAUACUGCGGUGAAUACGUUCCCGGGCCUU